UCCGGUGACGUCACAACGCGGGGUGUAUAAAAGGCGGAGCCGCCCUUCAAUCGGCCAUUUCACAGCGAGCUCUGACUGAGAGCCGCACGGACCCGAGAGAAGAGAAACGAUGCCUUGCACGGGUGUGAAAGCAGCUGCCUGUGAGAGGAGCGCCCCUCCCUGUGCUGUGAUGCACCUGUUCCCAGGCUGUGUCCGAAUCAUCUUGACCUGCUCCUGACGCACGAGGGAGAUUUUCAAGGCUGUGAUCUCUGACGAUGCGAUGCUCCAUCCUGGAGGGUGACGGGAGACUGUGGGCUGCAGGGAUCCUGUAACAUGGGUCUGACUCCCGGGCUGUACCGACCCACGCAGUGAAGCCGGCGCCCUCUGCUGGCUGCUGCUGGACCUGCAGAGCCCCUAUCUCUUGCAGUGAAGCCGGCGCCCUCUGCUGGCAGCUGCUGGACCUGCAGAGCCCCUAUCUCUUGCAGUGAAGCCGGCGCCCUCUGCUGGCAGCUGCUGGACUUGCAUCCUGAAGCCAGUUCAGUCCUGGUCUGUGACCCGGAUCUCUCUCAAGGGCUGUGCGCAACCAGACAGCAGGCUGUGAUCUCUGACGAUGCGAUGCUCCGUCCUGGAGGGUGACGGGAGACCGUGGGCUGCAGAGAUCUGGCAGCUGAGGUGGUCAGCUGGUCUUCAGUAUUCUUUUUAAAAGGUGAGUCGCUUCAUAAACCCUUUCUGUGCUGAAAUUAUUUUAAAUAGGCCUCCAUUUCUGUCAUU